AUCGCUUCUCGGCCUUUUGGCUAAGAUCAAGUGUGGUAUCAAAACAAUAUGUUUGGCUUUUUUUUUUUUUUUUUCAUUCUUUAACUGCCAGAUCAUCUUUUUUUGCUCAUGACCGAUUGGAUAUUAUCAGUUGUUUGCAGUCCGGAAAGUUCCCCUUGGUCUGCGUACACACCCA
rnacentral:snRNA from 1 species